CACGCAAUUACUACUGGACCGAUUUUAAUGAAACUUGGUAGCUGGAUAUCUAGAAUAAGGCAUAGGCUACUUUUUAUCCCGACAGUUAAACCGUGUGGCGCCUGGUUUAUAAUAUAAAGCAAAUAUUCUAUAAGUUAUUACUUGUAUGUCCGUGUUUAUUUGAAAAAAUAUGUUAGUGAUAUUUAUUUAAUUCAAUUAUUAUUAUCUUUAGUACAUCUUCUCUCCGCUUUGUUAUCAUUACAUCAUUUGACCAAAGGUUGUCUAGAAAAGAUCGCCCUUCCUUCUUUUGUUCUUUUUUGUUUAUUUUUAGUGUAUACAAUAAAGAAGUAUUCUACUGUAUGUUAUUGGUAUUUUUAUAAUGCUCCAUUAAUAAUUUUUAAUACAGCAUAUAUAGUCAAA